rnacentral:tRNA from 1 species
GUGAACAUAGUUUAACCAAAACACUAGGCUGUGGACCUAAAAAUAAGAACUAAAUAUUCUUUGCUCACC